rnacentral:rRNA from 1 species
AUGCAACGCUCACUCCUCACUGCACAUGCCACACAUAUUCCGGGGAGCAUGAGCACACGCCUCAUCAACACUGCUAUAAAAAUACCUGCUCCUGCACAACUGUACAAGUAUACUUCUGCUACUACUCUACUUCCCAAGUCGCUUAGUAAAACGAACGAAAGGGCGUACGUACAGUACACGAUUUUACUACCAGGGAGAGAGAGAGGGGGGCUGAGGAAAGCGGCCAGCACCACUCGUGGGGUUAAAACCCCAAGAACAGGUCCAGCGGCGGCAGCGGCCAGAGCCAGAACAAGCAAGCAGCCAGAGGAGGAAGAAGCAAGCAAGCCGAGCCCAAGAAAAGCAAAGCCGGACCGAGGCAAGCAAGCAACCAGCUGUAACCGCAGCUCCUGA